GUACGACGACCCAAUAACCUGUCUCCACUAACCGUCUCAAGUACUGUCGAGUGUCGAAGCCCUUUGGGCACUUGCAAAGCCCAACAAUUGCUCACCCCACUAGCCGUUAUUACGUCAACGAAUUUUUUCAACGUUCGAAAAACAAUAUUUCCUUUUUUCAGGGGUAUUUAGGAAAUUUCGUCUCUCUCAGCCGAGUUUUCCUUUUUUCCGAGGGGUAUUUACGUAAUUUUGAUUCUCUCACGGCAAAGUUUUCCUUUUUUCUUUCUCCCGUAACAAAGCUUUCCCUUUUUUUAGGUUUCCAUUCGAAGUUCACAAUAUUGUUUAUAAAUAUAAUUCGAGAGUCAGAGAUUCAUUCGAUAGCACUUUCCUCUCUUUUCUCAUAUCAGAAAAACGUUCUUUGUUCUCUCUUCUCUUUCUUCUACCCAGAUCAGUCGUGAAUUUUAUUCUACUCUUUCAUUAAGUUUACUUUGUUUGAUUCAUGAAACAAAACAAAUAAUCGAUUUUCGCUUUUUGGGGAUGACGAAUUGACGAUCAGAAGCAAAAGUACAGGUUUUCGUAAAGAGAUCAAACCAACUUGCACCGACUUCAACACUCUGUUCGAUCAAAAGAUGUUGUUGCAACUUCGGAGCUUUUCAUCUAUGGUCUCGUUGACGUGAGAGACACGGAUUGCCCCACACAAUUAGCAAUCAUUGAAACUCAUUGGACACUACAAAGCCCAACAAAGAAAGAAUUUCAGCCCAAUACAAAGCUUGUAAAUGCAUCCCAUUCGGCCAGCAAAAUAAAUUCAUCCAUUUAAGCUAGGAACGGACGGUUUUCUACAGGAGAAAACCAGUCCGGAGUUGAGGAGCUUACAUAACAAAGAUAGAAUCACGUGCCCUUGCCUUCUUAGCAAGACAGUCGGCACGGACAUUGUUUAAACGUGGAAUAAAAUCUAAGGAAAAAUGAGGGAAACCAAGUUUUAAAGCGUUGAAAUCUUCUAACUUUUGUCCAAUAGCUGGGUCAGCUCCUUGCAAUCUGUCUCAAAGGCAACAUUAAAAAUAGAUAAUGAUGUGAGGGAUCUCAAUGCCCAGAGAAGUGCUUCAAACUCUGUGUGAAGAGGAGAUAAACACUGUCGAAAACACUUGAGCCCAAGAUUAAUAAGCUGAGAGUCUGAGAUAAGAAUCCAUCCAAUUCCACAUAAGGAGUCUCCGUCUGUCCAAGAACCAUCAACUUGGCAAGUCAAAAGAUCUGAAUCAGUGGAUCGCGAACCUGGGUCUAUGAGGGGCGGUUGAGAAUCAAUGAACGACUCUCUGGCUCUCGCGAUGCGAAAAGAUUCUGCUUCAUCGCAGGCAUGUUUCAUCCAAUAAAUAAAUCUCACUAAAAAAAUUUAAAAAUUAGUUUAUGUUUUACAUUUUAAACACGUCGGAAACUAAUUUAUAAAACUCGGGGAAGUGCAAUUAAACUAAUUUAUAAAACUAAAACUCAAAAAAAUUAGUUCAACAUGUUUUCGACGUAUUUAAAUUUAGCACUUAGUUAUGUUUUAAACGGUUUUCAAAAAUAAUGUUUUAAU